ensembl:miRNA mdo-mir-7371p mdo-mir-7371p
AUUUGCACAAGGUGCUCUAUUCUGUGAAUUCUCUCCUGAAGAGCUCCUUGUUCGUAGU